rnacentral:rRNA from 1 species
UGGCGGACGGGUGAGUAACGCGUAAAGAACUUGCCCUUUAGACUGGGAUAACAGAGGGAAACUUCUGAUAAUACUGGAUAAGUUAGUAUAUCGCAUGAUAUGCAAAUGAAAGCUACGGCACUAAAGGAGAGCUUUGCGUCCUAUUAGCUAGUUGGUAAGGUAAGAGCUUACCAAGGCGAUGAUAGGUAGCCGGCCUGAGAGGGUGGACGGCCACAAGGGGACUGAGAUACGGCCCUUACUCCUAGGGAGGCAGCAGGA